UACGUAGGGGGCAAGCGUUGUCCGGAAUUAUUGGGCGUAAAGAGCGCGUAGGCGGUCCGGUAAGUCCGCUGUGAAAGUCAAGGGCUCAACCCUUGAAUGCCGGUGGAUACUGUCGGGCUAGAGUCCGGAAGAGGCGAGUGGAAUUCCUGGUGUAGCGGUGAAAUGCGCAGAUAUCAGGAGGAACACCGAUGGCGAAGGCAGCUCGCUGGGACGGUACUGACGCUGAGACGCGAAAGCGUGGGGAGCAAACAGG
rnacentral:rRNA from 1 species